UGAGGAAUAUUGGUCAAUGGGCGGGAGCCUGAACCAGCCAAGUCGCGUGAAGGAAGAAGGAUCUAUGGUUCGUAAACUUCUUUUGCAGGGGAAUAAAGUGCAGGACGUGUCCUGUUUUGUAUGUACCCUGAGAAUAAGGCUCGGCUAACUACGUGCCAGCAGCCGCGGUAAAACGUAGGAGCCAAGCGUUAUCCGAAUUCACUGGGCGUAAAGCGCGUGCAGGCGGCCUGGUAAGUUGGAUGUGAAAUCUCCCGGCUCAACUGGGAGAGGCCGUUCAAGACUGUCAUGCUAGAGGGCGACAGAGGGAGGUGGAAUUCCGGGUGUAGUGGUGAAAUGCGUAGAUAUCCGGAGGAACACCAGAGGCGAAGGCGACCUCCUGGGUCGUACCUGACGCUGAGAUGCGAAAGCUAGGGGAGCGAACG
rnacentral:rRNA from 1 species